rnacentral:rRNA from 1 species
AGUGAACGCUGGCGGCGUGCUUAACACAUGCAAGUCGAACGAGAACGGAUUAUAGCUUGCUAUAAUUGUCAGCUAAGUGGCGCACGGGUGAGUAAUGUAUAGGUAGUAUGCCUCUUACUAAGGGAUAACAAAUGGAAACGUUUGCUAAUACCUUAUACUCCUUAUUAACAGAAGUUAAUAAGGGAAAGAUUUAUUGGUAAGAGAUUAGCCUGUAUUGUAUCAGUUAGUUGGUGGGGUAAUGGCUUACCAAGACUAUGACACAUAACUGGUUUGAGAGGGUGAUCAGUCACACUGGAACUGAGACACGGUCCAGACUCCUACGGGAGGCAGCAGUGGGGAAUAUUGCACAAUGGACGAAAGUCUGAUGCAGCAACGCCGCGUGGAGGAUGACACAUUUCGGUGCGUAAACUCCUUUUAUAUGAGAAGAUAAUGACGGUAUUAUAUGAAUAAGCACCGGCUAACUCCGUGCCAGCCGCCGCAGUAA